rnacentral:rRNA from 1 species
UACGGAGGGUGCAAGCGUUAAUCGGAAUUACUGGGCGUAAAGCGCACGCAGGCGGUUUGUUAAGUCAGAUGUGAAAUCCCCGGGCUCAACCUGGGAAAUGCAUUCGAAACUGGCAGGCUGGAGUCUUGUAGGGGGGGGUAGAAUUCCAGGUGUAGCGGUGAAAUGCGUAGAGAUGUGGAGGAAUACCGGUGGCGAAGGCGGCCCCCUGGACAAAGACUGACGCUCAGGUGCGAAAGCGUGGGUAGCAAACAGG